ensembl:snRNA U6 U6 spliceosomal RNA
GUUUUACACUAGCUUCGGCAGCACAUACACUAAAAUGGGAACAAUACAGAGAAAAUUAGCACAGCCCCUACACAAGGAUGACACGCAAAUUUAUAAAGCAUUCCAUAUUUUU